rnacentral:rRNA from 1 species
UGUGCCUUCGGGAACCGUGAGACAGGUGCUGCAUGGCUGUCGUCAGCUCGUGUUGUGAAAUGUUGGGUUAAGUCCCGCAACGAGCGCAACCCUUAUCCUUUGUUGCCAGCGGUCCGGCCGGGAACUCAAAGGAGACUGCCAGUGAUAAACUGGAGGAAGGUGGGGAUGACGUCAAGUCAUCAUGGCCCUUACGACCAGGGCUACACACGUGCUACAAUGGCGCAUACAAAGAGAAGCGACCUCGCGAGAGCAAGCGGACCUCAUAAAGUGCGUCGUAGUCCGGAUUGGAGUCUGCAACUCGACUCCAUGAAGUCGGAAUCGCUAGUAAUCGUGGAUCAGAAUGCCACGGUGAAUACGUUCCCGGGCCUUGUACACACCGCCCGUCACACCAUGGGAGUGGGUUGCAAAAGAAGUAGGUAGCUUAACCUUCGGGAGGGCGCUUACCACUUUGUGAUUCAUGACUGGGGUGAAGUCGUAACAAGGUAACCGUAGGGGAACCUGCGGUUGGAUCAC